UGUAACCGUACAUAAUGUAGUCAUAUUUAGUUUUGCAUUAAUAUUCAACUGACCCUAACCAAUUUCUAAAAACAACCGAUGCUCUCACUCAUAAAAAAACAGUUCAGGAUCCGUGUUAGGAUUCAAGAUCAGUCAAGUUCGCAAUCUGGGAGACUUGGACAUGAAUAAUAUAAGUGCAGUUCUUGAUGCUCCCCAUGGUUCUUGAUUGCGUCAUUCGUAAUUUUUGAAGUGAUAUUGUCAAUAUUUAAUACAUUGAUAAUAAUGUGGUUCUUGGUGCAUUCUUUCAUUCGACUCAAAAAUUUGUAAACUUAACCGAGUGAAUUUGUAUUUGUUACUGAAGUAGCAAACUCAAAUAUAUGAUCAACCUAGUCUUUAUGUUUUUAGUUUCCACCACCAGACUUUCUUUCACUACAACAAAUGUUUGAUUUUCUCUUCAAAUAAACUGUUGGAGUCGACAAUUAGAUGUGUUAAAUCUUGUGUCCACCUUUAGGAAAUAUGUGCCAACUUUACUAUUUGUAAGGUGACUAAGCAUAUAUGAUCUUCAUGAGUAAGUGAUUAGGCGCACCUCUGAAGAUUGUGCAUCCAUUGCCCGCCCCUUCCAUAGUCGAGUCCUAUCCAAGUGACCACAUUGUCCAUGCUGAUUUCUCAUCGACUGAGCUGAUUCAACCAUGUAGUGUUUGUUUCAAUGUAAAGGAAAUAAUGUACAUCCUAGUCUUGCUUAUUAAUUUUGAUUGGCUUUCCCUUGUGUUGGAUGUGGUUGGUGCAAAGAUCCAAAUGGGGGUUUGGUAGUUUCAUAUUUAUAUCCUACCAUGAAAGCGGUUACUCAAUUCUUUAGUGGAAAUAAACAUUUUUUAAUCAUUAUCUUGCCUCAUUUAUAUUGAUAUACCGUAAAUGCACUCUUUAAGAUCGUCGUACUGUGUCAGUGGUACAUGUUAUGUAUGUUUGCACUCUGUUUGACCCGAGGAUUUGCCCAAAACUUGUCAAAUUUUUAGUCACCAGGCUACAUGUUCAUGAGUUAUGUGCUAAUAUAUUAGCACUUUUGAGAACUAAAAAGCGCUAUUAAAUACCCCCUAAUAAAAACGCAAGAUUUUUUUUGUUUGUAGUGGUUCAACCAGAGUGUCUUAAGUUUUGUUAUGGAGGGAGUACUUUAUUAAAUCAAAGUUGAGACCGAGAUCAACAAGAAAUAAAAUAUCCAUGUGCCAUCCUCUGAGUCAGAAUGAUGUCUCAAAUUUGAGUAGCCUGCAUGUACUCUUUAAAUGGCCUUACUAGAGCUAUGUGCAGUGCGUGCCCAUGUUGAUCCACAUAAUAAUAGUUUUCAUGUGUGACGGUGCCAAAGUACCAAAGUAGGCACACAACCAGUAUAGAGAUUGAUCGAAGUGGCAAAUUUAUGAGACUAGAAAAUAUCAUGCGUAUCUAUAUGCCGAUGUGGGAAAGGGAGGCACCGGAAUUAACGUUAACGGUCCUUGUAAUAUUAUAUCAAUUGAUGUCUUCAAGGUUGCACUAGUUGAAGUUAAUGGUCCAUGUAGUAUUAUAUCAAUUGAUGUACUCAAGGUUGCACUAAUAUUGAUGGGCGGAUGGUGUGAGUAGUAUACCUCGACGUCGUGCUUAGGGAAUGGAUGUGCACCUACACCCAGGAGCACCCACACCUUUCUCAUUGACAUAUCCAUUUAGUUACAAAUGUCACUAGAGCUAUCACAUUUGCACUUGUCAUUUUGUAGAAAAGGGACUGCAUUUCCACAUUGUUACCUAUACAUCUCUAGUUGUCCAGACCCAACUUUUUUUGUACGGAUGAGUUACUUCAUUAAUCUACUAGCUUCCAUGAGUAGCACCAGAGGACAUCUACUAGAAAUUGAGUAACAAAAAGGGUAUAGCUCUAAAGAGUUUUAACACAUUGCCAAGACUCUAGGCUAAUGAGUAAGAAAAAACCAUAAUUACAUUGGUUAGCUAUUUCACUCAAAAUCAUACUAGGGGGUCAUAAGGCAUCGACUAGGCACAAUGGCUCAACUUACAUACGCGAUAUAUAUCGGAGAUGAACUUGUUAUUAUCUCCUAACAUUAGUUUACGCGAAUAAUAAUGUAAUGAUUCAGUAAAAAACAUAAACAUGGAAGCAUGAAAACUAUUCAUAAUAAUGAUUAAGUUUAUGUUUUUAGUUCCUCUAUCAAUUGGAAAUGAUCAUAAUCAAAUUAUUACCAUAUCCAUUUUCUAGGAAUUCAAGGGUCAUAAUAUGCAUGCAUGGAGACAAAACAUAAACCAACUACAUGCAUGCCCUUAUUAUUUUAGUGAUUCAAUCUUGGGGCCAGUCAGCUACAAGAAUGCACAUGCAUGAACAUAUAGUUUGUCCAAACAAAACAGUGUGACCCUAUCUAUGAAAAGAUUGUGAUUUGAACGAUACAAUAUUAGGGCAUCCCAUCUAAAAUAACCAAGAAACAAGGCUUAUAAAGAUAUACACAUGUUCUGAAUUAGUGUAGAAUAAUUUUGGCAGAUGGCAAUGAUGAAUGCACCACAUUGUUUUAUAAUCUAUUGGAUGUCAUGGAAGACAAUGGAGUGAAGGGUGGUGCACAAAGUUAUUUCAUUAGCGAUGGUAGUGAUUAGCAACACCAUUGUUUUACCCAGGUUCAAGCCCCUAGGUUGUUAGAAACCUCAAGUCCCGCUUAUGGUGUGUAUUGAUCAAUAGGAGAAUUACAUAUAUAAGCCACCGAGCAUGCUAUGUUUUCUAUGUCAUCACUUACAUACAAUGUGCCAUUUGUGAUCAUUAUGUACUAUGAAGUCGUUGGGAAAAGGAGGCAUCAUGAAUUCACGUUUGGGAUGUUGAGAUAAUCUUCACUCUUUUGGCUUAAUCAAUCAAAACACAACUUGAAUGAGCAACAAAGUGCAAUGGCUUGGUGUCACAUGCCACAACAACUCUAUCUAGUUUCAGAAGAGAAUUAUCCCAAGACACUUCAAGAGUCGGGAUUUCUGCAUCAUAUAUUAGGCUUUUGGAAGGGCAACAUACCUUCUGUUUAACUUGUGCAUUAUAAUUUUAAACGUGCAAUAUGUAACACUGAUGGGGAGAUCCUCUUUGAUAGACAUACUAAUAAUUUGAUCAUAAAAUUAGCAAAAACGAUGAAAGAUAAACUUAUCUUACCAAAUAUUUUUUGACAUCUAGGAGUGCAAAGGAGUUUUUCACAAAUUAACUUUCAAUCAUUAACAUGUACUUAGUUUUUGUAUUUAAAUAUCUAAUCGUGCGAGAUCGAAUCAAUAAUAGAUUCCCUAUAUAUCACCUUUGUGUAUUUCAUUUUUUAUUUUCUCUUUAAACCUACUUGAUAAUGUACAUUAACAUAGUUUUGCGAGAGUGAACA
rnacentral:lncRNA from 1 species